rnacentral:antisense_RNA from 1 species
UGCUAACAGAGCCUUCCAUAUGCAAGCACCAGAGUUCUAUGCUUCACCAGGGGUUUAGGUCAAGAAGAGCAGGUGCGGAUGAGGUUCCAGGAGGAAGAAUCAAGUUGGAGCUGUAAAGCAAAUCUUUUAUUUACACAGUGUGCACUGAAAGCCUUAUGAGAGUCGACUUUGGAAAGCUGGACUAUUUUUUUCCUCAAUUUAUUUCAGCUUCCUUUGGAAAAAAAAAUAGCUCAUGGCUGAGGUAAUAGAGCACAAGCCUUAAAACAUAUGCUGAAGCAGAUGGGAGGAGGGCCAGAGUCGAGAUGCAGCCUUGCUUUUCUGGCUGUUCUGGUUUUUACACUGUGAAAAAAAUAUCUUUUCUAAACAUGAAUUUGUCCUUCCUCUAC